rnacentral:rRNA from 1 species
AACGAACGCUGGCGGCGUGCUUAACACAUGCAAGUCAAGGGGAGAGGUGGUUCGCCACUGAUUACGCUGGCGCACGGGUGAGUAAUACGUGAGCAACCUGCCCAUAAGAUCGGGAUAACUUGCCGAAAGGUGAGCUAAUACUGGAUAUGAAAUUUGCUGCAUGGCGGAUUUGGAAAGGCUGGGGUCACCUAGCGCUUAUGGAUGGGCUCGCGCCCCAUUAGCUAGUUGGUGAGGGUAAAGGCCCACCAAGGCUACGAUGGGUAAGCGGCCUGGGAGGGUGGCCGGUCACACUGGGACUGAGACACGGCCCAGACUCCUACGGGAGGCAGCAGUGGGGAAUUUUGCGCAAUGGGCGCAAGCCUGACGCAGCGACGCCGCGUGAAUGAUGAAGGCCUUCGGGUCGUAAAGUUCUUUCAGCAGGGAAGAAAGUGUGUGAUAGUAACUGCUCACAUUUUGACGUUACCUGCAGAAGCAGCCCCGGCUAACUCCGUGCCAGCCGCCGCCGUAAUAC